AUGAGUGUCUCCUCAAGGUUCAAGUGCUGAGAGCUUGGUUCCCAGGGUGACAUUACUUGGAACCUGUAAAAAGUUCUCAGAAUUCCUUUCUCUUCUUGGUUGUGGGGCAUGAGGCAAGCAGUUUAUCUUGACACCACAGUUCCCCACUAUGAUAUGGCACUUCACUGUUGGCCUCAAAGCAACCGAUACAAGUGGCCAUGGUCUGUAACUUCUGAAACUACAGGCCAAAGUCUGUCUUUCUGCUCCAGCUGCCAUGAAGUCAGCAGCCCUCCCUGCCACUAUUCUGCCUCAUCACAGGCACAGUCAAGUGACCACAGGCUGAAAUCUCGGAAGCCAUGAAUUAAAGCGAAAUAAAUGUGAAAUAACACCAGGAAAUUCCAUCACUUCUAGUAUCAAGAAUUUAAAAGGUGGAGAGAUGGCAAGUGUGCUUGCUGCUAGCUGACUGACAAUUUGAGCUCAGUUCCCUCGGCUCACAAGGUGGAAGGAGAGAAGUGACUCCGUAAGUUGUCUCUGACCUCCACAAACACACAGUAGUCAUACACAAACCCACAAUCAAUCAAGAUAAUUUUAAAUUUGUAAAAGUAUUUAACUAUUAAUAAAUUAACAUCACUCUUUAAAGGGUUCUAUUAAAGGGUAUUAUGCUCUAACGUA